rnacentral:rRNA from 1 species
UGGGGAAUAUUGCACAAUGGGCGAAAGCCUGAUGCAGCAACGCCGCGUGAGUGAUGAAGGUCUUCGGAUUGUAAAGCUCUGUCUUUUGGGACGAUAAUGACGGUACCAAAGGAGGAAGCCACGGCUAACUACGUGCCAGCAGCCGCGGUAAUACGUAGGUGGCGAGCGUUGUCCGGAUUUACUGGGCGUAAAGGGUGCGUAGGCGGAUGUUUAAGUGAGAUGUGAAAUACCCGGGCUUAACUUGGGUGCUGCAUUUCAAACUGGAUAUCUAGAGUGCAGGAGAGGAGAAUGGAAUUCCUAGUGUAGCGGUGAAAUGCGUAGAGAUUAGGAAGAACACCAGUGGCGAAGGCGAUUCUCUGGACUGUAACUGACGCUGAGGCACGAAAGCGUGGGUAGCAAACAGGAUUAGAUACCCUGGUAGUCCACGCCGUAAACGAUGAGUACUAGGUGUAGGAGGUAUCGACCUCUUCUGUGCCGCAGUAAACACAUUAAGUACUCCGCCUGGGAAGUACGAUCGCAAGAUUAAAAC